UACGUAGGGUGCGAGCGUUAAUCGGAAUUACUGGGCGUAAAGCGUGCGCAGGCGGUUCGCUAAGACCGAUGUGAAAUCCCCGGGCUUAACCUGGGAACUGCAUUGGUGACUGGCGAGCUAGAGUGUGGCAGAGGGGGGUAGAAUUCCACGUGUAGCAGUGAAAUGCGUAGAGAUGUGGAGGAAUACCGAUGGCGAAGGCAGCCCCCUGGGCUAACACUGACGCUCAUGCACGAAAGCGUGGGGAGCAGACAGG
rnacentral:rRNA from 1 species